AAUCACGAGCUCCCGUCAUGCACGACCCUGGUCGACGGGACAGCAACCCUCUGCGUCAUAGCGGGGUGCUCCAGGUGACGAUUCGACGCGGUCCAAAAGGAAUCGCGUAAGUAUGGCGU
rnacentral:ncRNA from 2 species